GAUGAACGCUGGCGGCGUGCCUAAUACAUGCAAGUCGAGCGAACAGACGAGGAGCUUGCUCCUUUGACGUUAGCGGCGGACGGGUGAGUAACACGUAGGUAACCUACCUAUAAGACUGGGAUAACUUCGGGAAACCGGAGCUAAUACCGGAUAAUAUUUCGAACCGCAUGGUUCGAUAGUGAAAGAUGGCUUUGCUAUCACUUAUAGAUGGACCUGCGCCGUAUUAGCUAGUUGGUAAGGUAACGGCUUACCAAGGCAACGAUACGUAGCCGACCUGGGAGGGUGAUCGGCCACACUGGAACUGAGACACGGUCCAGACUCCUACGGGAGGCAGCAGUAGGGAAUCUUCCGCAAUGGGCGAAAGCCUGACGGAGCAACGCCGCGUGAGUGAUGAAGGUCUUCGGAUCGUAAAACUCUGUUAUUAGGGAAGAACAAACGUGUAAGUAACUGUGCACGUCUUGACGGUACCUAAUCAGAAAGCCACGGCUAACUACGUG
rnacentral:rRNA from 1 species